rnacentral:rRNA from 1 species
GAUGAACGCUGGCGGCGUGCUUAACACAUGCAAGUCGAACGGAAAGGCCCAAGCUUGCUUGGGUACUCGAGUGGCGAACGGGUGAGUAACACGUGGGUGAUCUGCCCUUCACUUCGGGAUAAGCCUGGGAAACUGGGGCUAAUACCGGAGAGGACGUUGGUUUGGAUGCGAUUGUGGAAAGUUUUUUCGGUGUGGGGUGAGCUCGCGGCCUAUCAGCUUGUUGGUGGGGUAAUGGCAUACCAAGGCGUCGACGGGUAGCCGGCCUGAGAGGGUGUACGGCCACAUUGGGACUUAGGUGCGGCCCCAGCGCCGAAGGGAGGCAGCAGGGGGGAAGAUUGCACAAUGGGCGCAAGCCUGGUGCAGCGACGCCGCGUGGGGGAUGACGGCCUUCGGGUUGUAAACUAAUUUCGCUAGGGACGAAGCGUUUUGUGACGGUACCUGGAGAAGAAGCACCGGCUAACUACGUG